rnacentral:rRNA from 1 species
AUUGAACGCUGCGGCAGGCUUAACACAUGCAAGUCGAGCGAGCGGCGGACGGGUGAGUAAUGCUUAGGAAUCUGCCUAUUAGUGGGGGACAACAUCUCGUAAGGGAUGCUAAUACCGCAUACUAAUAGAUGAGUCUAAGUCGGAUUAGCUAGUUGGUGGGGUAAAGGCCUACCAAGGCGACGAUCUGUAGCGGGUCUGAGAGGAUGAUCCGCCACACAAGGACUGAGACACGGACCAGACUCCUACGGGAGGCAGCAGUGGGGAAUAUUGGACAAUGGGGGGAAACAUGAUGCGGCCAUGCCGGUGGUGUGAAGAAGGACUUCGGGUUGUAAAGCACUUUCAGCGGGGAGGCGUUACCCGAAGAAGAAGAACCGGCUAACGCCGUGCCAGCAGCCGCGGUAAUACC